rnacentral:rRNA from 1 species
GCAAAACUCUCAGCUCAACCAACCAGUAUCAACCCAACAAACUAAAUAUUCCACACAAACUAAACUAAAACAUUCUAACCAUAAUCCAAGUAUAGGUGAUAGAAAAGAUUACAGAAGCAAUAUAAAUAGUACCGUAAGGAAAAAUGAAAAACUUGAAAUAAAAUUCAAGCAAAAAAUAGCAAAGAUUAACUCUUGUACCUCUUGCAUCAUGAUUUAGCCAGAAUAAUACCUAAGCAAAGAGAACUAAAGUUUAAUACCCCGCAACUAAGUGAGCUACUUAAAGGCAGCAAACAUCCCCGUAAAGCUACCCUCAUCUCUGUGGCAAAAGAGUGACAAGAGCUCUAAGUAGAGGUGAAAAUCCUAAACCGACCUAGUGAUAGCUGGUUGCUCAAUAAUAGAGUGUUAGGCUCAACCCUAAACACCCAAAAACAACUAAUAGUUACAUGACAAAUUUAGGAGUAAUUCAAUUAGGGUACAGCCAAAUUGAAACAGGAUACAACCUAAAAUGAAGGAAAAGACACACUACAAAACUCAAAGUGGGCUUUAAAGCAGCCACCACCAAAGAAAGCGUCAAAGCUCAAUCCACACAAAUAUUAACAAUACUCUACCCCUCAAAAAAAACACUGAGCCAUUCUACCAAAAUAGAAGAACUUAUGCUAAAAUGAGUAACAAGAAGAAAUAAACCUCUCUCCUACGCUAGCUUAAAUCAGAACAGAUAAACUACUGAUUAUUAACAACCACCAUAAAAACAACAGCACUAAACACAACAUAUAACAUAAACUGUUAACCCAACACAGGAGCGUAAACAAGAAAGAUUAAAAUCUGUAAAAGGAACUAGGCAAACAAAGAGCCCGACUGUUUACCAAAAACAUAGCCCCUAGCAACAAUAAGUAUUAGGGGUGAUGCCUGCCCAGUGACACUGUUCAACGGCCGCGGUAUCCUAACCGUGCAAAGGUAGCGUAAUCACUUGUCCUUUAAAUAGGGACCAGUAUGAAAGGCUAAACGAGGCCCUAUCUGUCUCUUACAGAUAAUCAGUGAAAUUGAUCUUCUCGUGCAAAAGCGAGAAUAUAAAUAUAAGACGAGAAGACCCUGUGGAACUUUAAACAAAGCAUCAACUAACAUCUCACCCGCCCUAAGGGAUCACAAACUAUUUACUUACCUGAUGCCUAUUUUUGGUUGGGGUGACCUCGGAGUAAAACAAAACCUCCGAAAAAAGAACAUAACUCCUUACUUAGCCAAACAACUCAAAGUGCCCACAGCAAAAUGAUCCAAUUUAUUUGAUCAACGAACCAAGCUACCCCAGGGAUAACAGCGCAAUCCCGUCACAGAGUCCCUAUCAACGACGGAGUUUACGACCUCGAUGUUGGAUCAGGACAUCCUAAUGGUGCAACAGCUAUUAAGGGUUCGUUUGUUCAACGAUUAAAGUCCUACGUGAUCUGAGUUCAGACCGGAGUAAUCCAGGUCGGUUUCUAUCUAUAACAUAAACCUUUUUCAGUACGAAAGGACCAAAAGGAUAAGGCCUAUACUAACAGUCAAGCCUUAAACUUACAUUAUGUGAAUACAACUAAACUAAUAAUAAAAAUACUCUAACUAGCCCAAAACACAGGGCUG